UGGCCUUGACAUUGAUAGAAUCCCGCAGAGAUGCAGGAGUGCCCUUCGGGGAGCUUGAAAACAGGUGCUGCACGGCUGUCGUCAGCUCGUGUCGUGAGAUGUUGGGUUAAGUCCCGCAACGAGCGCAACCCUCGUCACUAGUUACUAACGGUUCGGCCGAGGACUCUAGUGAGACUGCCUUCGUAAGGAGGAGGAAGGUGAGGACGACGUCAAGUCAUCAUGGCCCUUACGGCCAGGGCGACACACGUGCUACAAUGGGAAGGACAAUGAGACGCAAUACCGCGAGGUGGAGCAAAUCUAUAAACCUUCUCUCAGUUCGGAUAGCUCUCUGCAACUCGAGAGCUUGAAGCUGGAAUCACUAGUAAUCGUAGAUCAGCCAUGCUACGGUGAAUACGUUCCCGGGUCU
rnacentral:rRNA from 1 species